rnacentral:rRNA from 1 species
GAUGAACGCUGGCGGCGUGCCUAAUACAUGCAAGUCGAGCGAACGGACGAGAAGCUUGCUUCUCUGAUGUUAGCGGCGGACGGGUGAGUAACACGUGGAUAACCUACCUAUAAGACUGGGAUAACUUCGGGAAACCGGAGCUAAUACCGGAUAAUAUUUUGAACCGCAUGGUUCAAAAGUGAAAGACGGUCUUGCUGUCACUUAUAGAUGGAUCCGCGCUGCAUUAGCUAGUUGGUAAGGUAACGGCUUACCAAGGCAACGAUGCAUAGCCGACCUGAGAGGGUGAUCGGCCACACUGGAACUGAGGCACGGUCCAGACUCCUACGGGAGGCAGCAGUAGGGAAUCUUCCGCAAUGGGCGAAAGCCUGACGGAGCAACGCCGCGUGAGUGAUGGAGGUCUUCGGAUCGUAAAACUCUGUUAUUAGGGAAGAACAUAUGUGUAAGUAACUGUGCACAUCUUGACGGUACCUAAUCAGAAAGCCACGGCUAACUACGUGCCAGCAGCCGCGGUAAUACGUAGGUGGCAAGCGUUAUCCGGAAUUAUUGGGCGUAAAGCGCGCGUAGGCGGUUUUUUAAGUCUGAUGUGAAAGCCCACGGCUCAACCGUGGAGGGUCAUUGGAAACUGGAAAACUUGAGUGCAGAAGAGGAAAGUGGAAUUCCAUGUGUAGCGGUGAAAUGCGCAGAGAUAUGGAGGAACACCAGUGGCGAAGGCGACUUUCUGGUCUGUAACUGACGCUGAUGUGCGAAAGCGUGGGGAUCAAACAGGAUUAGAUACCCUGGUAGUCCACGCCGUAAACGAUGAGUGCUAAGUGUUAGGGGGUUUCCGCCCCUUAGUGCUGCAGCUAACGCAUUAAGCACUCCGCCUGGGGAGUACGACCGCAAGGUUGAAACUCAAAGGAAUUGACGGGGACCCGCACAAGCGGUGGAGCAUGUGGUUUAAUUCGAAGCAACGCGAAGAACCUUACCAAAUCUUGACAUCCUUUGACAACUCUAGAGAUAGAGCCUUCCCCUUCGGGGGACAAAGUGACAGGUGGUGCAUGGUUGUCGUCAGCUCGUGUCGUGAGAUGUUGGGUUAAGUCCCGCAACGAGCGCAACCCUUAAGCUUAGUUGCCAUCAUUAAGUUGGGCACUCUAAGUUGACUGCCGGUGACAAACCGGAGGAAGGUGGGGAUGACGUCAAAUCAUCAUGCCCCUUAUGAUUUGGGCUACACACGUGCUACAAUGGACAAUACAAAGGGCAGCGAAACCGCGAGGUCAAGCAAAUCCCAUAAAGUUGUUCUCAGUUCGGAUUGUAGUCUGCAACUCGACUACAUGAAGCUGGAAUCGCUAGUAAUCGUAGAUCAGCAUGCUACGGUGAAUACGUUCCCGGGUCU